CCAGUUAGCUCAGUUGGUAGAGCAGCGGACUGAAAAUCCGCGUGUCCGUGGUUCGAUUCCGC
rnacentral:tRNA from 1 species